UAGCAUUGGAAAUGUAAAUGAAGAAAAUACCUAAUAAAAAUAAUAAUAAUAAAAGAUUCAAAUAAUUAUAUAAAAGGCCCAAGGCUCUGAUUACUGUUACUUUGUAAUUCCAUGUAUAUAUGUUCUUGUGUGUGUGUGUGUGUGUGUGUGUCUGUGUGUGUGUGUGUGUGUGUUAGCAUGAGUGUGUGUGUGUUUGCAUUGUGGGAGUAUGUAUGCAUUCACAUAUAUGAGGGUGUGCAUGCCUGCCUGUAUGUGUGUGCAUGUGUGCCUGCUUGAAUGUAGCACAUACUCAUGAGUCCAAGUGCACAAGAAGACAAUGGUCAACCUCUGGAGUCUUCUUUAGGAGUUUUCCAACUUCACUGUUGCUGUUGUUUUGGCUUUGGGGGAUUUUGCUUUGGGUUUUGGGGUUUUGGGACAGGGUCUUACUAUGUAGCCUUGCAUCUCCUCAAACUUAGUAUGCAAACCUGGCUCUUUAUACAGACAUUGGGAAUCCAGCUCAGGUCUUCAUGCUUGCAAGGCAAGCUCUCUUCUCGGUCCCUACUUUAUAAUCUUAUCACUGCCUUGUCAGUUAUUACAGUAAGUAGGCUUUCUUUCAAAGAUCAUUUUUAACUUGUAUGUUUAAGUUUGCAGUUUUACUUACAGUUAGGAUUCGAUUGCAGUUCUGUGGCUUUAACCUGUCUCAGCGCUCACAACUGCCUUCUUACACUUUGACGUCCAACACUGAGAUUUCACUUUGAUUAAUCUCAUUUAGCAUGAAAAUAUAUUAACAUACAGUUUUAGAAAUGGUGCAUGGGUGGUGUAUUUUCAGAGACCACAUGUCCAAGUAAAACUUACUGUUACUUUAAAAUCUGAAAGCCAUCUGGCUAUGUGCAGAAUUUAUCAGCAACCACCUAUUUUCUUCAGGAAAAGGAUAAAAGUAAGGCUCCAUUUUUUUCCCCUUGGAGCUUACAAGUGAGAAAUAAAAAUCUGGCAAAAGGAGUAACUUCUAUUAAAAUAUGGAAUGUUUCAAACAUAUUACUUUUCCAAAGAUUAAAAAAUUAGAGGAGUAAACCCACCAUCCAGAUUUAACGAUGUAAAAUUUUUUUUCACAUAUAUAGCACUUUUCAUCAAUUAAGAAAUAAAAUGUUGAGAGUUGUCUGCUCCCAGUCUAAUAUGGUUCUCAUUUGGUUUUUGACAUUAAGUCCUGUGUCUCUGCCGCCAAAGGGCUGUGACUAUAGGCCUGGGCUAUCACACCAAGCCCAAAUAUGAUCACUUUCCUUUCGUCUCAACAUUUGAAAGUCCUCUGUGACUUAUUCCUCUGGAACAUAGAUAUACACCUCCUCCAACUAACUCAAUUUUCUUAGUUUAAGAAAGUUCCUGCUAAUUUUUUCUAUUUCAAAAUAUCAUUAAUUGUAAUACAUCUCACUGAUCUUACUAUGUGUAUAUGUGUAUAGGAUAUAUAUCAAUAUGAGUCUAUAUUACUUAUAUACAAGCUAUUCAUUGUGCACCUAUUUACAUAUAAAUGUAUGUAAAAGAAAUAUGUGCAUAUUUUAUGUGACUUUAUACUAAAAAUUAAUGAAAAAUAACCUUUCACAUGUACUUUUAAAAAUGUGGCCCAGUAGUAAUAGCAUUUGCAUAUUCCAGGUGUGAGUUCGAUUCCUGCCUAUGGAGAAAGAGUCCUCCUCAUAGGGAAGCAGAGCAGAGUGGCAGAGAUUGCAGCCACGUUGCUGCUUGUUUUGCUCUGAUUGUUUUCCUUUCUAGCUCCUUCUUUGGAAAUAUCAAUCUGUUAGAUUUUUAUUGUGUUUUGUUUUUGUAUUUACUUAUUUUAUUAUUUUAUUUUCUUCUCUCUUUUUUACAUGACUAUCAGCAUGGGAGUACUUUCCUAUACAUUGUAGUAAUUUUUCAUUUUUAGCGUCUUGAAUUAUAUUUCCCUUUAAGCUGGUAUCUGUAUGGGUUUGUUUGUUUGUUUGUUUGUUUGUUUGUUUGUGUUUUCCUUUUUAUUUUUAGGUGAAUUUCUUUUCUGUCAGUUUUAUUUCCAUGCCUUCUCGAGAUUCGUUUAAGAGAUUUUCUUUUCUAAACUUGUAGUCCAUAAUCUUACAGAUGGUGGUUUGAUGGAUAUUAAACACUGUGGCCCUAUUCAAUGAGCGACACUUCACAUUCUGUUCACUUCAUCCGUACACAUGGUGCUGACAUCCUCUCUCUCAUGGACAAAGAAACUGAGACCCACAGAUUAAGCAACUGCUGCAUCAAAGAGGUGGUGUGUGUGUGUGUGUGUGCCCACGUGUGUACAUGCUCAAGUGUGCAAGACCUAAGUAUUCAACCUGGGGCAUAUUGGACAAGUACUGAGCUACAUCCCUAGCUUAUUGAAUUCAUAUAUUAGCUCAGAAGCCUAAGCCUACACACUUAAGCUUAUGGGUGCAUUUUAAUUAGCAUUUUACUGCUGUGAACAGACACCAUGACCAAGGCAACUCUUGUAAAGACAGCAUUUAAUUGGGGCUGGCUUAUAGGUUCAGAGGUUCAGUCAAUUAUCAUCAAGGCAGGAACAUGGCAGCAUCCUGGCAGGCAUGAUUCAGGAGGAGCUGGGAGUUCUGCAUCUUCAUCUGAAGGCUACUAGCCAGAAUAUUGUCUUUCAGGUAGCUAGGAUGAGGGUCUUAAAGCCCACACCCAUGGUGACACACCUACUCCAACAGAGCCACAACUUCUAAUAGUGCCACUCCCUGGGCAGAGCAUAUACAGAUGAUCACUGGGUGCCACAGAGGAUCCUUCCUGUGUAUGCUAAUGCUUUUUUGAUGUCAUACUUGAUAAGAGCUUUUAAUGUGGAAUCUACCAUCUUAAUAGUUUUUAGGAGGUUGUGUUGUUGUUACUGCUUUUGGUUUUUUGGUUUUUUUUGUGUGUUGUUGUUGUUGUUGUUUUUCUGGUUUUGGAUUUCUGUUUGCUGUCUGUUUGGUGUUCAGUCCCUCCCAAGGCCUUGUUGCCGCUAAGCACAGUGCUACAUGGCACAUUUCUAAGACUCACCUAUCCUUCUGAGAGUUCAUGCAUUUAUUUCGAGUGCACCUAGACCAGUAGCAUAAAAUCAACCACACAAAUCUCAGCCAUCUUAUAGAACUGAAAGUGCACACCUGCUGGCUCACAAGGGAAACCCUGCAACAAGUGACACCAUAAAGGGUGUCAUUCAGAGCUCUCAGCUAGAGGCCGGCUCAGGGCAAGGGUACAGCUGGUGGGAGAUGCUCACCCCCCUUUCCAGGGCCACCAUUGAGUUCUUUGUUCUUUAUCUGGAUCCAUUUUCCCCUUCCAAAUCCAUCCCUGUGUCCUCCCCUCCUACACUUCAUGUACCUUCUCCAUCCCUUUUCACUCCCUACUUCCUGCAGCCCUUGUUCAACUUAUUGUGUCCACUCCUUGCACACAGUAUGACUAUCUGCUGGGGCAUGGGUAACUUAUAGGAAGCCAUAUUCCUGAAGAAAGUUGACUCUCCUUACCCCAGUAGCUAUUAGGGGCUAAUAAUUCUAGAUAGGGGUGAGGAACUUCAUGGACCCUCUCCUGUUAAUACUGGAAUUUUUACCUGGCUUAAUGUUGUACAGGUCUUGUAUAUACAACUACAGCCCCUUUGAGUUCUUAUGUCCUGACAUGUCCAGAAAACAGUCUCACAGUCGUCCUGAACAACCUCUGGCUCUUACCACGUUUCUGCCUCCUGCCUCAGUGCCCCCCAGUCUUGGGGAAUAGAGAGGUAUACAUGUGCAUGUAGUUCAGAGCACCCCAGAGUCAGUAAUUCCCUGCAUCUUGAUCAGCUGUCACUCUUCUGAAGUAAUCAGUCUCCAUAUACUUCUCUGAUGAGUGUGAAAGCCACACUGAUCUAUGGUUGUAAAGAUAUCGGCAUUUUUAAAGACAGCCUUGUCUGUACACGGCAUUUGCCUGAUGACAGAUGUACCUGUGCCAUUGUUCAUAUUUCCAUUGGCUUGAAUGUUAUGCUCCUGCCUUCAUUCUUGUCGCAUAAAAAUGAAGCAAUUAGCCAAGAAGUGAGGUUUUUAAAGCUUCCCAAGAAAGAGAAAGAAAAAGCAAGCAUGAGUUCCCUGGAGGGGCCCCUGGCUGGCUGGCUUACAUUGUCAGAGACUAGCAGAACCCAAUGUGGUCUCCCUCAGAAUUUGUUUGUUUAAAUUCAUCUCCACUCUUGUCAUUACUUGACCACGAAGACAAAGUGUUCUGUUGUCACUAAAUGACUUGCCCAGUCAGGAAAAGACAUUUAAAUUGGUUUAAUCCUCAUUCAACUAUAAAAAUGUGCCCUCUCUUUCUCAUGAAACUCAAUUCAUUAUAGGAAAAUCCCACUGGUAUCAUGAACAAAUAGAAUUAUUCCAUCGGGUUUUACUGCUCUAAAAGGCAAUUCCUUCAUUGAUGAAAGAAACCAUAAUAUGUUAAGGGCAAGAACGUAUUACAAUACAUGGCAAGUACAGUGCCUAAGCACUUGCUCUCUGAAGGUUUUCUUAUGACUCAGGGCCCUGAUACGCAAAGUACAUUUUAUUCUUCUGCAGUAACCAUUUUAUUCUGUUAUUCCAAAAUUUAAGACAUCAGAUAAAGCCAUCAUGUUCCAAGAAUGAUGUUAGCUUUGGACCUUUCAUCUGCCCCCUAAUGCAGCCCAGAUAUUCUGAUAGAUAGCGUUGUCGUGAUGUGUAGCUUAUAUGCCCCUUGGCUACUAAGCCUUGGAUAUUGGGACAUGGC
rnacentral:lncRNA from 1 species